rnacentral:rRNA from 1 species
CCUACGGGUGGCAGCAGUCGAGAAUCAUUCACAAUGGGGGAAACCCUGAUGGUGCGACGCCGCGUGGGGGAAUGAAGGUCUUCGGAUUGUAAACCCCUGUCAUGUGGGAGCAAAUUAAAAAGAUAGUACCACACGAGGAAGAGACGGCUAACUCUGUGCCAGCAGCCGCGGUAAUACAGAGGUCUCAAGCGUUGUUCGGAAUCACUGGGCGUAAAGCGUGCGUAGGCUGUUUCGUAAGUCGUGUGUGAAAGGCGCGGGCUCAACCCGCGGACGGCACAUGAUACUGCGAGACUAGAGUAAUGGAGGGGAAACCGGAAUUCGCGGUGUAGCAGUGAAAUGCGUAGAUAUCGGGAGGAACACUCGUGGCGAAGGCGGGUUCCUGGACAUUAACUGACGCUGAGGCACGAAGGCCAGGGGAGCGAAAGGGAUUAGAUACCCGUGUAGUC